GACGAACGCUGGCGGCGUGCCUAAUACAUGCAAGUCGAGCGAAGCGGGGACGGGUGAGUAACACGUAAGGAACCUCCGAUAAGCGGGGGACAACAUCCGGAAACGGGUGCUAAACCGCAUAUUUAUCGAUGGCCUUUCGGUGCAGUCGCUCGUUGGUGGGGUAACGGCCUACCAAGGCAAUGAUGCAUACCCGACCUGAGAGGGUGAUCGGCCACAUUGGGACUGAGACACGGCCCAGACGCCUACGGGAGGCAGCAGUAGGGAAUCUUCCGCAAUGGGCGCAAGCCUGACGGAGCAACGCCGCGUGAGUGAAGAAGGUUUUCGGAUCGUAAAGCUCUGUUGUAAGAGAAGCGGUAUCUUACCAGAAAGCCACGGCUAACUACGUGCCAGCAGCCGCGGUAAUUC
rnacentral:rRNA from 1 species